CGCGAGGAGUGCGUGCGUGCGCGUGCGUGCGAGCCCGGGGACGAAGGGAGGGCGGGGGCGCCUGGGCAGGCCGGCUGGAAGGCACCAGGGGCGGGGGUACCUGGAGGAGCCGGUUGGGGGGCGGCUGGGGCCGCGGGGGCGCGCGGCUUUUUGCGUGCGCGUGUGCACGAGCAUGUGUGCCUGUGUGUGAGCGCGGUGGGGCGGGGUGCGCUCGGGCCGUGGGCGCUCGCGGAUCACGCACCGGUUGUCUCUGCGUUUGCAGGAGCCUGUGAGUCGUCAGAAAGGCAUAUGGAGAAAAAGGCAGGGCCUCUCUUCCUGGGCCCCACGGCCCCCGCCGCCCGCCAACGGAAUCUGAUUAAUCCUCGUGGGGCGGGAAAUAGAGCUGGCGGAGCAGGGCAGGGGGCCAGAAGUGGGAAGAGGGUGACAGAACAUCUGCUCUGGCCGGGGAGGUCCAGACCCCUCUCCCUCCUGGAGCUGCCCCAGACCGGUGUCCGGACGCACUCCGUUGUUAAAAAGUGGCCUCCGCCAGUUGGAAGGUGCUGAGCCCAGGGCAGCUCGGACUUGCCAGGGCCGCGGGCCCGCUGCGCUGCCGGAGGGCAGCCGGGGAGCUCGGUGACCGCACGGGGACUGAGACCAUGGACGUGAUGUCACUCCACUUCUGACACAUUUACAACCCGACAGUGGUCCUCGUGCUUGUCCUCACCAGUGCACCCCACCUGUGUGACAAGUGACCCACAAAUGUACUGAUGGCCCAGCCAACCUAUCUUCGAGAUCCAUUGGACCUCAGUGAUCCUGUUGCUGCCCAGCACUUCUGUCCCCCUCAGUUGUUCAGUUUCAUAAACUCACUUGUUGGUUUAAACUCUGCGUGUUUGGAGCCUGGCAUAAUUAACUCUUCCUCUGCAAGCUUUCCUGUAUAGAGAUUUUCUACUGGACUACUACAGGUGGCACAGGUACAAUAAUGCUCCCUUUUUCUGUUGAUAACCACUGUCAUAAUAAAAAGUUUCUACUUAUGAAA